GUGGGUAGUUUGACUGGGGCGGUCUCCUCCUAAAGAGUAACGGAGGAGCACGAAGGUUGGCUAAUCCUGGUCGGACAUCAGGAGGUUAGUGCAAUGGCAUAAGCCAGCUUGACUGCGAGCGUGACGGCGCGAGCAGGUGCGAAAGCAGGUCAUAGUGAUCCGGUGGUUCUGAAUGGAAGGGCCAUCGCUCAACGGAUAAAAGGUACUCCGGGGAUAACAGGCUGAUACCGCCCAAGAGUUCAUAUCGACGGCGGUGUUUGGCACCUCGAUGUCGGCUCAUCACAUCCUGGGGCUGAAGUAGGUCCCAAGGGUAUGGCUGUUCGCCAUUUAAAGUGGUACGCGAGCUGGGUUUAGAACGUCGUGAGACAGUUCGGUCCCUAUCUGCCGUGGGCGCUGGAGAACUGAGGGGGGCUGCUCCUAGUACGAGAGGACCGGAGUGGACGCAUCACUGGUGUUCGGGUUGUCAUGCCAAUGGCACUGCCCGGUAGCUAAAUGCGGAAGAGAUAAGUGCUGAAAGCAUCUAAGCACGAAACUUGCCCCGAGAUGAGUUCUCCCUGACUCCUUGAGAGUCCUGAAGGAACGUUGAAGACGACGACGUUGAUAGGCC
rnacentral:rRNA from 1 species